CAUAUACUCCCUCCGUUCCAAAAUUAUUGUCUUAGAUUUAUCUAAAUGUAUGAAUGUGUCUAGUCACGCUUUAGUAUUUAGAUACAUCAAUUUUUAAACAUAACUAAGAUAAGAAUUUUGAGACGGAGAAAGUACAUA
rfam:Hordeum vulgare subsp. vulgare, WGS project CAJW01000000 data, contig: morex_contig_342181